rnacentral:misc_RNA from 1 species
GGGGAGUCGCAUCAAUUAAGAAAGGGAGAGUGGGUUAUGGCAGGUAAGCAAGAAAAUCAUAAAUUUAUAGGAUAGGAAUGAAUAGCCCAGAUUGAAACUUAGUGUUUAUAAUGAUGGCUCAGUUGUUGCAAGUCUAAAACUGAUAUAUUGAACCAAACUAAUUAAUCUAUUCGAUUCAGUUCAGUUUUAUACAUAGGUUCGGUUUGGCUUUUAUUUAUAAGCAUUUAGGUUGUUCAAUUAUUUUGGUUGGUUCGAAAGUGAACCGACUGAUUGCACAGUCCUAACCACUAUAAUUUUGUUCCAUAAAGAUUUUGAGUGAUAUUGUGUUCCCCUACCCUUAAGUACAAA